UCUAUUAUACUCCUCCACUUGUUUGGAGGAGCAAGACUUUAUGGCUGACAUUGUUCUGUGUGGGAGGAGAUAAAGAAUGACCUGAGGACGGGACAGACGGGACAACAACCUAACAAAGACACAAACUAAGGGGGAAGACAGACACUUUUCAGAGGAGAACUACUGGAGACUAUAACAACAAAAGAACACUGUUCUUGUGUAUUGUAGAUGACCACAACCUGUGUGAUGGCCUUGCUGCUCCUCUGGGCCUGUCCAGUGGACCCCUACCGGACCCACUCUGAUGAGAGAAAAGAUCCAGAACCCAGUCGGGACCAAAUGGGCACAAAGAACCACCAUCAAGAUGCCAGAGUUCUGGAGGGAGGAGCUCAGUGCCCAGCAGCAGUGUCUCCUUCUCCGCCCAGGAGCAGAGCUUUGCCCGCUGGGAGCCAACACCGUCACCCAGCUGCUGGAGGCCCAGGCCGUAUUGCUGGGCCAGCUGGAGGAAAGGAUGGACCCUGUUGGACUCUGCUGCCAUAAAAUAAGAGGUGAAGUUCCUCCAUUAUAACUUUAAGAUAAUAAAAAAGAAUUCUUGAUUCAUUACGUCAUUACAUUAGUAAAACCGUAAAGGAAAAAUAACCACCUUUUAUGUGGAUGUCCUAUUAGUGCUGAGGGUAAAUGUAAUCCACUGAAGAAAUAAAUUCCCCUGUGAGCGCAGAUAGCUGAUCUCUGUUGCGGAGCCGUGCCAGCUGUGCCUACAUGUACCAGGAUGCAUUGGGCACGAGCUGCGAUAUAAUUUCGUCUUAUAUUAUUACACCUAAACAGAAAAAUACGACCGUGAACUUUCUGAAUUCAAGUUUUUCUCUUACAGUGAAUUAAGACAGGGUUUCUUGCCUUGUUAACUCACCAUAAAACAAAUUUAAUUUAACCUGGACAGAAACAAAAUGAAACUUUUUGUCGUUGGCGACAGCAAUAAAAUAAAAUACAAUGACAUUCGUUACCUCAGAAUGAUUCCGUUUGGCCAACUUGAGCAAAGUUGGCCAGUCACCAGUCUGUGUUUUCUCGCUGCAGCUCAGGUUCUGGAGGGUCCCCGUCAGCCAUGUCCCCCCCGCUGCAGCUGCAGCCUUGAGUGAAUAUGGCUGAAUAUUGAAGUCGGUGAUUAAAACCACCCAAGUCGUGUAAAAUUUACACUGUGUAAUGAUUACAGACAAACAAAUCCUCGAUCAUAACAUCCUCACUUAUAUUUUGGGAUGCCAUUUUCACAAGCGAGUUAUUUUUUUGAGUGGCAUUGCGCUCCACAGCUACCAAAACUGGGAGUAGCACUCUGUAAUACUUCCUCACCCCAAGUACGUCACUGGGAUGAGGAAGGAUUACAUAUUUUACAGCUGUGCCCCAGAGACACAAAGAACAUCAGUAACAACUGCGGGCGGAUACUGUACAGCUAACUCGGAUAAGUAAACAUAAGGUUGAACUGCGUAGUGUAGAGGGUUUGGAUACAGGAUAACUCAAUGACUGCAGGGCUGCUUGCCGAACGUAAACACAUGAAAUAAACUUUCGUGAAUACAUACUGUACAAACUCUUGCAAGAGUUUUACACAAGACAGAUCCUUUCUAGCCGUAAUCCUGUAGUCUGGUUGGACAACAGUGCCCAAAUAAUUCUGCAUAGCUUGCCAGGCAGCAGCACAGUGAACAGGUUGGGUCUGGGUGGGUUUUGUCUUUUAAUAUUCUUUUAGCUCUUCUUAGGCUCUUCUUCUCACCAAUAUCACUGAUGCUCAGUAGAUGGUACCAAUGAUGUUCUGGGUGGUUUUAAUCACCUGCUGUUGAGCCCUCCUGUCCUGUGCCAUACACAUCCCAUCUUAGUUUGUAAUGUUUGCAGUCAGGAUGCUUUCUAUUGGUCCUCUAUGAAAGUUAACAAAAACUUGUCACAAGGACAUUUUUCCUUCUUAAGUUUCCUUUAGAAAUGCAGCAGUUAAUGAGCUUUCUUCACCAGGAUUGAGAUGUGUGAUAAGCAUGUCAGGUUGUUUGUGAUGCUGAUUCCCAGGAACUUAAAGCUGUUUACUUGCUCCACCUCAGCUCCAUUAAUGAAGACAGAGGUGGGCGUCUUUGCCUCCUUUUUUCUAAAAUCAACAGGAGGUGCUGAAGAAGAUUUGAAGAAUAUUAGACUAAAAAGAGUUAUACAAGUUUGAACUUAAAUCAGAAAGACAAAAGCUUCCGUAUGACUUGCAUGCCUUGGUUUGGUUGUACUGUAUGUAAAGGAGUAGGGAGGUGAGGGAGUGUCAACGAUGCUGCGACCCAGGAGAGGAGAGUCCCCAUAAGUACCAGCACUACCCACAGUACCAGAUAGUACCACAGAUCAACAUUACUCUGCUCAAAGGUAAGCCAUAUUUAAUACAAUAUUGGACUUGUGUUGGUUUCUGAAAGCUCAUACUGAUAUUUACAGCAUUUUGAAUUGAAGCUGCUGACGGUGACAGACAGUAUUUUUUAAUUUGAUUAAUUCUAAUUAGUAAAGUCCUCGCUAUAUUUCAAAGGCCUGUCGGAACAAUAAAGCCUUCAAAUCUUAUUUCUGUCAGUGCUCAAUAACUUCAUAUUGCCGCACCAUAUUUAUAAAUACAGUAUUUAGACUAUAACAAGACACAAAUAAAGCUGCUCUCAACUCAAACCAAUAAAAAUAUAAAUAUCUUUGACUUUAUCAUCAUUUUAAGGCAGUGCUUGACCACCCCUGUGCUGCAGACUGGUACUGAAAUAUUUUUUUACAGGGACACAAGGAAACCAUAUGAUUCAGCAAAAUAGCUGAAUAAUAAUAACUUUGUCCUAUUUGUGUGGUAAAUAACUUGCCAUAGCUUACAUCUUUCCUCAUCUUUCAAAGGAAGUAAAGGAGACAAAAUAUCUGUGUGUUUACGUCAGUAGUGUCUCAAUAAACUCUAAUAAAUAAAUAAAUAAAUGGAAAUAGGACAAUGUAAAAUGGACAAAAAGCCACAUUUACAGAUUUUUUUCUUUUAAAUGGAUAUGAAUUUCUGUCCAAACCACUAGAACGCAAAAACAACUAGCCAGCCCUGUAGGUGGUGAUAAAGGCUACGUCAACAAUACAUCAAAUACCAGAGAAGAAAAUUCCGAGCAUGCUCAGUGAGCUUAUUUUCCUUUGGGUUGUUAACAAAAAAACAACAGUAAAGCAAUAGCUAAAUAUUUCUUCAUUUAUACAUACUUGAUAUUUGGUGCCAAGGCGAUAGUUGUUGUUGAAGUAAACCAUCUGUUAUGUUAAGACGUCAUCGUUUCCCAUACACUCCGUUUUACCCGUCCUCACAGAUACAUGGUAAUAACUCUACACCUUAAAAGGCAUUUUCAAAAAUAUCUGUUUUAGUGACGUAAAACUCCGUUUGCAAAUGGAAGAGAGGCCAAAAUGUAGAGGAAAAUAUCCUUUUUUUUAAAUGUGUGCCUGUCAACAGGGCCUAAAUUACAAGUUCAGACAGAAAUAAAGGUUUUUGUUGCUUAUUUAAAUUUUCACUUUGGGACUUCUCAUCACAACCAUUCCACUACCGAUUAAAGACAAAACUGACAAGUGGUAGGUAGGAGAGGUUUCACUAGCAAGGACCACACCAUCAAAUAGAAGCGUUUAACAGAUUUAUUGAAGGUAAACGUGAUUGAGAUGCGAGGCUUGAGCUUCGUGUAGCUCGUCCGGUUAGUCGAAUGAGUUGUGGGGAAGCUUCGAUAGGGAAUCCGCUGUAGCACUCGGGCAUGGCGAACCCCCAAAACCCCAUGUUACUUGAGACUAGAUUGACCCAAGUACAGGUCAUUACGAUGUGGGUGAAUGUAGUGGAGGUAGCUAUUUGUCCAAGCUCUACGAAAGAAGGGGACAUCAUUAAUCGAAGUGAUGGUAUAAGGCGGGGAACUCUGAACAUGAGGCAGGCAAAAAAAACGGGCAAAAAUGUAACUUCUAAGGUUCGAGCAAUGUGAGGAUUAUUGCAUCAAAUAGCGGCGUGGAUUUUUUGAACAGGCUCUUUGCGCAGAAGACCUGUGACAGUGAUGUUAUGGAAUAGGUUAGAUAGUAGGGUGUGCUGGAGGCCGGGCUCGGGUUACUCCACAAGAGUUUAGAGAAGUCUAUUCCACAUAGGUAUGUUUGAGUGUCUAUGGAUAUCAAGGAAUGGGCCGAGGUAACGAAAACGGGUCAUUGAACAAGAUUGAACGACGGGACUGUUAUGAUGUACUGGUUGCGUCCAGGAAGUAGUGGAAACUCUUUUCCGAAGCUGACCCUGUGAACAAAAAGGUUAAAGGAGAUAGGUUAUCGAUGAUGGAGUUCUGCUGAUCGAUGAUCGGCACAAUCAAGGUAGGCUUUAUGAGUUUAACGACAGCGUUGAAUAUGGCGAAACAGAUGUUGGACAGGUGUCUGCAAGAGGGCGGAUCUUCUGAACUUCUGGAAUGAGAAACGAGAAAGCAAUGGCGUUGCAGUGGCCCAGACAUGAGUUGCAUCGAGAACGCACUGGUAAGUAGGAGGGUGUCGCGCCGCCCUUUAAUGAUUAGGUAAAUUAUUGCUAGGUUGUCAGGAGUUAAGAGAUGGACUUGCUGGGCCAUUUGUGGCCCCACGGAAUGGCUGCGGCUAGAGUGAAGGGAAAACGACUUGGCAUUUGCCUGCGAGGUCCAAGGGCUGAUCUACAGCAAAACAUCUUCUGUCAUGGAAACCCCCAAAAACCGGCAGAGGGAGCGGCAUUGUUGUAUGGACCAAUUUUGUGGGUCCGUCGCUGGAAGUAAAUGGCGGGGGGGCACUGGCGUCGCUGCCAGGUGUCCUGGCUAUGGCAACUUGCUAUGGUUGCAGAGUGUAUUUGGCUUCUGGAGGGAUACUGAACUACUUGACUCAGCUAGAAUAAACUAAGUAUAUUGUUCUUGCUUUUACAAGUUGCUAUUAGCUGUACCUGGGCUGCUUCAGUGUUAAUGCUUUUGCAGUCUAUGUUUGUGUAAGGUAGAUGUGAUCUAGUUUCACUUGGUCAAUUGCCCUGUUAAAUGCCAGGGGAGUGGCUUGCACUCCUGGCAGACAAUGGUGGUUAGAAGCGUCAGCUUCCAAGCAUCGGGCAAACAAAAGCUAGGGCGAACGAAGGCAACAGGGCGACUUUUUCAAGCCAGAGUUCGUCAAGCAAAGACUUCUCGAGCGUGUACUUGCAGGUCAGUAAUCUGUUUAUAUUGACUACCACGUAGACAUUGGGUCACUCCCAGGUGCCGUGACCCUACUAACCUCAUCUAUCCUACUCUCUCAGCUCAUGGCGAGCAUGGUGGCAGGGGGGGCUUUGGAAUUGCCAGUCGGCAGUGCCGAAAGUUGUCUUCAUCUCAGGCUAUGUAUGCAUCCUUGCUCUCCCUCAACUUUUUUGCUUUAAGACCUGGAUCACACCAGAAAACACUACCACACCCACAGCUCUGUCAGAUGUGUACUCUUUCUCU